GCGACAGGCAGUCUCACUUGGCCACCGGGCGGGGUGACCACAGUCUCUUCUCAGUCACCGCGGCGAAAACUCUCCUCGGGAGGAGCCGCCGGCGGGAGGCAGCACGCGACUAGGAGAGAAGCGCGAGACGAGAGGAAAGAAAGCUUUGAAGCCUCAGAUCUGAUUUGCUGUGAACUCUGACACUUUUCUUGAUAUGCAAACUGUACAAGAUACUUAACCUCUCUGAGCCUCAGUUUCCUGAAAAUGGAAAUACCACCACCUGCUCACUAUGAAGAUGAAAUUAAAAAACGUAAAAUGUUGGCAUAAACA